rnacentral:rRNA from 1 species
GUGGGGAAUAUUGGACAAUGGGCGAAAGCCUGAUCCAGCAAUGCCGUGUGAGUGAAGAAGGCCUUAGGGUUGUAAAGCUCUUUUACCCGGGAAGAUAAUGACUGUACCGGGAGAAUAAGCCCCGGCUAACUCCGUGCCAGCAGCCGCGGUAAUACGGAGGGGGCUAGCGUUGUUCGGAAUUACUGGGCGUAACGCGCACGUAGGCGGCUUUGUAAGUUAGAGGUGAAAGCCCAGGGCUCAACCCUGGAACUGCCUUUAAGACUGCAUCGCUUGAACACGGGAGAGGUGAGUGGAAUUCCGAGUGUAGAGGUGAAAUUCGUAGAUAGUCGGAAGAACACCAGUGGCGAAGGCGACUCACUGGACCGUUGUUGACGCUGAGGUGCGAAAGCGUGGGGAGCAAACAGGAUUAGAUACCCUAGUAGUCC